rnacentral:rRNA from 1 species
AGAGUUUGAUCCUGGCUCAGAUUGAACGCUGGCGGAAUGCUUUACACAUGCAAGUCGAACGGCAGCACGGGAGCUUGCUCCUGGUGGCGAGUGGCGAACGGGUGAGUAACAUAUCGGAACAUAUCCUAUCGUGGGGGAUAACUAGUCGAAAGACUAGCUAAUACCGCAUACGUCCUGAGGGAGAAAGCGGGGGCUCGCAAGACCUCGCGCGAUUGGAGUGGCCGAUAUCUGAUUAGCUAGAUGGUGAGGUAAAAGCUCACCAUGGCGACGAUCAGUAGCUGGUCUGAGAGGAUGAUCAGCCACACUGGGACUGAGACACGGCCCAGACUCCUACGGGAGGCAGCAGUGGGGAAUUUUGGACAAUGGGCGAAAGCCUGAUCCAGCCAUUCCGCGUGAGUGAAGAAGGCCUUCGGGUUGUAAAGCUCUUUCGGCAGGAACGAAACGGUGGGUUCUAA